rnacentral:rRNA from 1 species
CGCAGAUCAGCAAAGCUGCGGUGAAUACGUUCCCGGGCCUUGUACACACCGCCCGUCACACCACGGGAGUCGGUCGCGCCUGAAGCCGGUGGCCUAUCAGUAAUGGGGGAGCCGUCUAUGGCGAGAUUGGUAACUGGGGUGAAGUCGUAACAAGGUAAC